GUCUAGGGGUUAGGACGCAUGGUUUUCAUCCAUGUAACACGGGUUCGAUUCCCGUAC
rnacentral:tRNA from 14 species